rnacentral:rRNA from 1 species
UACGUAGGGCGCGAGCGUUGUCCGGAAUUAUUGGGCGUAAAGAGCUCGUAGGCGGCCUGUUGCGUCCGCUGUGAAAUCCCAGGGCUCAACCCUGGGCGUGCAGUGGAUACGGGCAGGCUGGAGGCAGGCAGGGGAGAACGGAAUUCCCGGUGUAGCGGUGAAAUGCGCAGAUAUCAGGAAGAACACCUAUGGCGAAGGCAGCUCUCUGGGACGGUACUGACGCUGAGACGCGAAAGCGUGGGGAGCGAACAGG